rnacentral:rRNA from 1 species
CCUACGGGAGGCAGCAGUGGGGGAUAUUGGACAAUGGGGGGAACCCUGAUCCAGCGACGCCGCGUGAGGGAAGAAUGUCCUAUGGAUUGUAAACCUCUUUUGUCAGGGAGCAAAGUCACCCACGUGUGGGUGUUGGAGAGUACCUGAAGAAAAAGCAUCGGCUAACUCCGUGCCAGCAGCCGCGGUAAUACGGAGGAUGCGAGCGUUAUCCGGAUUUAUUGGGUUUAAAGGGUGCGUAGGCGGGUUAUCAAGUCAGCGGUAAAAUCGUGGAGCUCAACUCCAUCCAGCCGUUGAAACUGAUGAUCUUGAGUGGGCGAGAAGUAUGCGGAAUGCGUGGUGUAGCGGUGAAAUGCAUAGAUAUCACGCAGAACUCCGAUUGCGAAGGCAGCAUACCGGCGCCCGACUGACGCUGAAGCACGAAAGCGUGGGUAUCGAACAGGAUUAGAUACCCCGGUAGUC